UACAGAGGGGGCAAGCGUUAUUCGGAAUUUAUUGGGCGUAAAGGGCGCGUAGGCGGUAUGGCAAGUGGAAGGUGAAAUCCCUCGGCUUAACCGAGGAACUGCCCUCCAAACUGCUUUACUUUGAGGCCGGGAGAGGUGAGUGGAAUUCCCCAGUGUAGCGGUGAAAAUGCGUAGAUAUUGGGAGGAACACCAGUGGCGAAGGCGGCUCACUGGACCGGUUCUGACGCUGAAGCGCGAAAGCGUGGGGAGCAAACGGG
rnacentral:rRNA from 1 species